UUUGGUGGCUAUAGCAGCGGUGUUCCACCUCUUCCCAUCCCGAACAGAGAAGUUAAGCCCGCUCACGCCGAUGGUACUGCCCGCAAGGUGGGAGAGUAGGUAGUCGCCUUUU
rnacentral:rRNA from 1 species